UAGGGAAUCUUCCGCAAUGGACGCAAGUCUGACGGAGCAACGCCGCGCGAGUGAAGAAGGAUUUCGGUUCGUAAAACUCUGUUGUUAGAGAAGAACAGCGCAUAGAGUAACUGUUAUGCGUGUGACGGUAUCUAACCAGAAAGCCACGGCUAACUACGUGCCAGCAGCCGCGGUAAUACGUAGGUGGCAAGCGUUGUCCGGAUUUAUUGGGCGUAAAGCGAGCGCAGGCGGUCAAUUAAGUCUGAUGUGAAAGCCCCCGGCUCAACCGGGGAGGGUCAAUGGAAACUGGUUGACUUGAGUGCAGAGGAGGAGAGUGGAAUUCCAUGUGUGGCGGUGAAAUGCGUAGAUAUAUGGAGGAACACCAGUAGCGAAGGCGACUCUCUGGUCUGUAACUGACGCUGAGGUUCGAAAGCGUGGGUAGCAAACAGG
rnacentral:rRNA from 1 species